AUUGAACGCUGGCGGCAUGCUUUACACAUGCAAGUCGAACGGUAACAGGCCUUCGGGUGCUGACGAGUGGCGCACGGGUGAGUAAUGCAUCGGAACGUACCCAGAGGUGGGGGAUAACGCAGCGAAAGCUGUGCUAAUACCGCAUGUGAUCUGAGGAUGAAAGCGGGGGACCGAGCAGCAAUGUUUGGCCUCGCGCCUUUGGAGCGGCCGAUGUCGGAUUAGCUAGUUGGUGGGGUAAAGGCUUACCAAGGCGACGAUCCGUAGCUGGUCUGAGAGGACGACCAGCCACACUGGGACUGAGACACGGCCCAGACUCCUACGGGAGGCAGCAGUGGGGAAUUUUGGACAAUGGGCGCAAGCCUGAUCCAGCAAUGCCGCGUGCGGGAAGAAGGCCUUCGGGUUGUAAACCGCUUUUGGCAGGAACGAAACGGUGUCCGCUAAUACCGGGCGCUAAUGACGGUACCUGCAGAAUAAGCACCGGCUAACUACGUG
rnacentral:rRNA from 1 species